CAAAUGUCCGACAUUUACAAAAUAGCUCGGUGAUUCUCAAACCCAAAUCCAAGAAAUGAGAAUCUGUUGAUGGUUGACGCCACGAAACAGGCAAAUCGCCGGUUACUAGAAAAAGCUUUUGGGCAUAGGAGUCCAGGAAGACAGGAAGCCACCCACUAGUUACGUUUACUGUGAUACUGUGACCUUCCUUCAAAGGGUCCCACAUCGUGGAGAAUGUAAACUUUCCUCACUCCAUGGUAACUUUGG
rnacentral:misc_RNA from 1 species